GAAGACAUUGGUGGUACAGCUUAGUGAAUCCAAGGUAAAAAAGGUAAAAAGAUUGUCAUUUUAUUUGAAUACAUGCUUUGUAAACCAAUUAUAAUGUGGGAUUUUGCUUGUGGUAGCAAGAAUCUUCAAGGAUUCAAGAACUGGAUGCAUCCAUGUAGGUGGAUCUUAGAAUGCAUGGUGAUUUUGAGCUAGAUAAGCAAUGGCAAUGGUGACCAAGGAUGUGAGGAGAUUGUGAACUAUAUGUGAAAUUCAAGCUAAAGCUGAGAGGAAGUAUAUAAGCAAGGAAAGUUUGCUGUGGUGGCAUGCUGGAAGAGAUAACGGGUGAUCGGCAAGUAGAAUUAGCUAGAGACGCACUUAAACCGAUAGCGACGUAGUGUCCCACUAUUGUAAGGAAGUUUGAGAGUAGGCUGAAUGUGACAUUGGGACAGUGUGACCCUUGUGCGUAAGUGAGCCCUAGCUAGAGAACUUUUAGGUCAUUGACAGGCUGUUAGAUGUGGCUGGGGCCACGGUAUGUGAUAUAUACGUGGCAAAGCGAUGGGUUGAUAUAUGUGGCUAGGCCACAAGCUAAUAUACAUGAUUGCGACCACAUGAUUUCUCUGAUGUUGGCCAAAAUCGUCAAGACUACCAUGGCUAUGGGAAUCCAGUGGAACGAGGCUCUCGGAUUGAUAUUACAUGAAAGCGGGUCCACAAGUUGAUUAUUUACAAUUACCUAACUCGAGAAUGAUGUAUCUUGGGUUUUCAUACAUGACUUCUUUCG